AGUUUAGAUAAUGAGGCGGUUUAGAAGGUGCUUCAAUAAUUAUUAGGUUAUGUAUAUGCUAUGCGGUUAUCAACAACUUAUGAAAUAUUGGAUGAAUGUAAACUCCGGGGCGCCAGCUAACGUGUAAUAGCAUCAUGAACUACAAUCCGCAAGAUCACUCCCCGGUGUUUUGUUGUUCCUCCACUCUGGUUUUGUUGUUCCUCCACUCUAAUGUAACAAAUCCGCAAGGUAGAGAUAUAGAGUUGUACCAUUUUUAACAUCUAAACUACUGUAAAAUAAAUAUGUUUUUAAAAUAAAUUGCAAAGUAUUUUUACCACAUAUUUAACUUCGCGGGUAAAUAUUUUAGGUAAUUUUAUUUUUUUUCACAUGCGAAUUUUUAAUUCUCAAUAAAAUAUUAAUAACAGUUUGACAGCGGGCAUGAGUACCCUACAACUUCACAACAAACACAAUAACUUGUACAACACGUCACAGAUUGGUCUCCACUGUAAUAGAUGGUCGUAAUGAUAAUGUCCGUGAUCUUCUAUAUAAACUACUCGCGCUCUCUGCAAACUUUCGAUGGACUUUGGUUUGAAUUCCAUCGACAAAGUCGGAGUAAAGGAUCGGGUUCAGCGCGGAAUUCAGCGGAAGAAGGACGACCGCAGAUACCGCGUACAUGAUAUCGGGAACCUCGAUCCCGCUAAACCUCACGAACACUGUGAUAGAGAUGGGAACCCAACAACAAAAGUCGGUGACGAUUAAUCUGAUGAUCUUCCUUUGCAUGGCUGGAGGGGUUGAGCAUCACCCUGGGAGAACUGAUAUCGAAGUGCAUCGCGUAUCGACGCGCUUUGACGUAGAUGAUGACGUAUGAUGACGCAACAAACACAAACGCGGUAAAAUUAAAAGCUGCCGUCACAAUCGGGUCAACUCAGAAGCGCCAACGUGCGACU